GAUGAACGCUGGCGGCGUGCCUAAUACAUGCAAGUCGAGCGAACGGACGAGAAGCUUGCUUCUCUGAUGUUAGCGGCGGACGGGUGAGUAACACGUGGAUAACCUACCUAUAAGACUGGGAUAACUUCGGGAAACCGGAGCUAAUACCGGAUAAUAUUUUGAACCGCAUGGUUCAAAAGUGAAAGACGGUCUUGCUGUCACUUAUAGAUGGAUCCGCGCUGCAUUAGCUAGUUGGUAAGGUAACGGCUUACCAAGGCAACGAUGCAUAGCCGACCUGAGAGGGUGAUCGGCCACACUGGAACUGAGACACGGUCCAGACUCCUACGGAAGGCAGCAGUAGGGAAUCUUCCGCAAUGGGCGAAAGCCUGACGGAGCAACGCCGCGUGAGUGAUGAAGGUCUUCGGAUCGUAAAACUCUGUUAUUAGGGAAGAACAUAUGUGUAAGUAACUGUGCACAUCUUGACGGUACCUAAUCAGAAAGCCACGGCUAACUACGUGCCAGCAGCCGCGGUAAUACGUAGGUGGCAAGCGUUAUCCGGAAUUAUUGGGCGUAAAGCGCGCGUAGGCGGUUUUUUAAGUCUGAUGUGAAAGCCCACGGCUCAACCGUGGAGGGUCAUUGGAGACUGGAAAACUUGAGUGCAGAAGAGGAAAGUGGAAUUCCAUGUGUAGCGGUGAAAUGCGCAGAGAUAUGGAGGAACACCAGUGGCGAAGGCGACUUUCUGGUCUGUAACUGACGCUGAUGUGCGAAAGCGUGGGGAUCAAACAGG
rnacentral:rRNA from 1 species